UCAUUUUAUUUGCAGAGACAUCCCCUGGAGAGCAAGUAUGUGAGUAAAACCAUGAUUUCCUCAAAAUUAAUCCCAACCAAACAUGCAUUCAGCAAGUAUUUUCUACUCUUUUGUCAAGGAUUUUAUAGCACCAAAUGCAGUUGUCAUCCAUGAUGACUCGCCUAGCGAGCGCAAGUGCAUAGACAAGGCCACAUGGCAGUUCAAGAGAGAAAGAAAAGUGUCAAGUCAUCUGAAGAACUCGCCUAGCGAGUACAAACUCGACUAGUGAGUAAAGGACACUGAAGUAGGAAAAGAAUUGUAGAAAUUCAAUUAUUGAAGAACUCGCCUAGCGAGGAGAAACUCGACCAACGAGUAAAUGCCACUAAGUGAAGAAAAGACAUUCAGAAUUCUAAUUGUCAAAGAAUUCGCCUAGCGAGUUGAAGCUUGCCAAGUGAGUAGACCACACUUUGAAGUGACGAGAGAAAGGCCUUGGGCUCGAUAUAAAAGGACAUUCUCUUAGGAUUGCAAGGGAGGGCAUAAACCUAGGGUUGUGCGCGGCAAUUGGAGCUCCCAUCUACCUCUAUCUUCCAUUUUCAUCCAUUUUCCUUCAUUUUGUAAUUUUGAGGUCUCUCAUGACAAUGAGAGGCUAGUUCAUCCGUUGCUGGGGGAUUGGUGUACUGAGCUACUCUCAUGUAAUUAAUCUUUCUAUUUAUUCAGUAUCAUUUCCUAUGUUA